rnacentral:lncRNA from 1 species
CUAAGGCCGGGCGUGGAAGCAGCAACAAAGGCCGGCGUUGGGAAUCGGCACGAGUAGAGGCCGGCGCGGGGAACUAGCAGAAGCACAGGCAUCACCCACCACCACCAGCGGCAACAGUCGACGGCUGAAGCAGAAGAAGUCCUGGUCGCCGUGGGCUAGUUGCGCGCAGCAGGUGGGCAGCCGAAGUGGCGGCGCAGGUGGUAAGCUGCAACAG